rnacentral:sRNA from 1 species
UUUACUUUUUUUUUUUUAUUUUUUUUUUUGUAAUAGUCAUCGGUCGCUGGUCGUCGUGGGCGCAAAAAAAAAAAAAAGAAACCAAAAUUGUGCUGCGUUGCGUUCUUCAAAAUUAGCUUAAAGCUUUAAGUGAUAUUCACAUUAGAGCAACAACAAAUAGAAACAAGCUGUGAAAAUUUGAGUUGAGUCUUCUAUGAAGUAAAGAAACGGUGAACGAAAGAACAACAACAAAUAGAAAAGUGAGAGCAGACGUAUUUUUUUUUAUUGUUAAGCGAAAAAGUGUUGGUGUGUGUCGAGAGUAAGAUAGAGAGGGCGUGAGAUACACACAUCCAAAAAAAAAAAAAAAAGGAGGAACACA